GUGUACAAAUCACCGUCGAGUGUGGGAUUUCAUCUAUGUGCCUGCUGCAGGACCACAUCAUCGUUGAGAGGAAGGAGCAGAAGAUCAACCAGCGAGUCCUCCUGCAUCCUCAAGAAGGUCCUGAUCCAAUUUAUGAAAUAAUUGAACUCCACCGUGAGUCCUCCUGCGUCCUCUACUGUAUCUAUUUUGUUCUUUACAAAACUGAACUCCACCGUGCAACACAUAUAGAUUAUGGUGUAGUUUUUGGUUUUUCAGUUUAGCCCUAGUCUUUACAAAAUCCUAGGUCCGCCUUUAAAGGUGUGUCAAUCCAA
rnacentral:lncRNA from 1 species